GGCGUGCUUAACACAUGCAAGUCGAACGGGCACUUCGGUGCUAGUGGCGAACGGGUGAGUAAAGCGCAGGUAAUCUGCCGCAAAGACGGGGACAACGUUCCGAAAGGGACGCUAAUACCGGAUGUUGUGCGGAGUUCGCAUGAACUUUGCACUAAAGAUUUAUCGCUUUGCGAGGAGCCUGCGUCCGAUUAGGUAGUUGGUGAGAUAAAAGCCCACCAAGCCGACGAUCGGUAGCCGGUCUGAGAGGAUGAACGGCCACAAUGGAACUGAGACACGGUCCAUACUCCUACGGGAGGCAGCAGUGGGGAAUAUUCCACAAUGGGGGGAACCCUGAUGGAGCGACGCCGCGUGAGUGAAGAAGGGCUUCGGCUCGUAAAGCUCUUUUCUGAAGGACGAAUGGCCAUUUGGAAUGGCAGAGACGGUACUUUGGGAAUAAGCCACGGCUAACUACGUGCCAGCAGCCGCGGUAAUACGUAGGUGGCAAGCGUUGUCCGGAAUUAUUGGGCGUAAAGGGAGCGCAGGCGGNGCGGUAAGUCCAAAUUAAAAGUGCAGGAGUAAUGCCUGUGAUGGUUUGGAAACUAUCGUUCUUGAGAGCAGGAGAGGCAAGCGGAAUUCCCGGUGUAGCGGUGAAAUGC
rnacentral:rRNA from 1 species